rnacentral:sRNA from 1 species
AAAAGACUGGGUUUUCAAAUCUACCGAGUUAAAAAAGUUAAAAUUGCCUUCUCCUAGAUGAACUGUUAAAGAUUUCAAGGGCCAGCUGUUAACCACUUGCGGGCUUGUCACUAACUAACGCCCCUUAACUGCGGGAGAGGGAAUCCCUUGAUUCAAUCGCGAUAGGUGAAGAAACAUGGAGACAGAAGCAACUAAUAAGGCCAUUAUGAAAUGAAGCAAAAAAAAAAAAAAAAAAAAAACCGAAAGCUAAUCAGAACAUGGGGCGGAUAAGGUGGACCUUUUUUGUAUGCUAUAUGCCCUCAGCACCCAUACCGCGUAUGACAUAAUGAAUGCAAGGGUUGUUAACUGGAGAUAACAGAUGAGGGUCAUGCAGCAGGUAUGGCAGAUAUAUAAAUAUUCCCUGGGAACAUCAUAAAUGUGAAUAGCCGUUUGACGUUUGGAGGUGGGGAAUUGCGAAAUUUGAGACCUUUUAGAAACCUAUAUGGAGACAAAACAAAUAGUUUCUCGAAUGAUGUUACCUAAAUUAUACAA